AUUGUGGUAUUGUGUAUAUG
rnacentral:siRNA from 1 species